UACGGAGGGGGCUAGCGUUGUUCGGAAUUACUGGGCGUAAAGGGCGCGUAGGCGGCGCGAUAAGUUGGGCGUGAAAGGCCCGGGCUCAACCCGGGGACUGCGCUUGAUACUGUCGCGCUGUGAGUCCGGGAGAGGAUGGCGGAAUUCCCAGUGUAGAGGUGAAAUUCGUAGAUAUUGGGAAGAACACCGUGGCGAGGACGGCCAUCUGGACCGGCACUGACGCUGAGGCGCGAAAGCGUGGGGAGCAAACAGG
rnacentral:rRNA from 1 species